AAAUUGAAGAGUUUGAUCAUGGCUCAGAUUGAACGCUGGCGGCAGGCCUAACACAUGCAAGUCGAACGGUAACAGAAAGCAGCUUGCUGCUUUGCUGACGAGUGGCGGACGGGUGAGUAAUGUCUGGGAAACUGCCUGAUGGAGGGGGAUAACUACUGGAAACGGUAGCUAAUACCGCAUAACGUCGCAAGACCAAAGAGGGGGACCUUCGGGCCUCUUGCCAUCGGAUGUGCCCAGAUGGGAUUAGCUUGUUGGUGGGGUAACGGCUCACCAAGGCGACGAUCCCUAGCUGGUCUGAGAGGAUGACCAGCCACACUGGAACUGAGACACGGUCCAGACUCCUACGGGAGGCAGCAGUGGGGAAUAUUGCACAAUGGGCGCAAGCCUGAUGCAGCCAUGCCGCGUGUAUGAAGAAGGCCUUCGGGUUGUAAAGUACUUUCAGCGGGGAGGAAGGGAGUAAAGUUAAUACCUUUGCUCAUUGACGUUA
rnacentral:rRNA from 1 species